CCUACGGGCGGCUGCAGUGGGGAAUAUUGGACAAUGGGGGCAACCCUGAUCCAGCCAUGCCGCGUGUGUGAAGAAGGCCCUCGGGUUGUAAAGCACUUUCAGUGAGGAAGAACGCCUGGUGGUUAAUACCCAUCAGGAAAGACAUCACUCACAGAAGAAGCACCGGCUAACUCCGUGCCAGCAGCCGCGGUAAUACGGAGGGUGCGAGCGUUAAUCGGAAUUACUGGGCGUAAAGCGCGCGCAGGUGGCUUGAUAAGCCGGUUGUGAAAGCCCCGGGCUCAACCUGGGAACGGCAUCCGGAACUGUCGAGCUAGAGUGCAGGAGAGGAGGGUAGAAUUCCCGGUGUAGCGGUGAAAUGCGUAGAGAUCGGGAGGAAUACCAGUGGCGAAGGCGGCCUUCUGGACUGACACUGACACUGAGGUGCGAAAGCGUGGGUAGCAAACAGGAUUAGAUACCCGAGUAGUC
rnacentral:rRNA from 1 species